rnacentral:rRNA from 1 species
AGUGAACGCUGGCGGUAGGCCUAACACAUGCAAGUCGAACGGCAGCACAGUAAGAGCUUGCUCUUACGGGUGGCGAGUGGCGGACGGGUGAGGAAUACAUCGGAAUCUACUUUUUCGUGGGGGAUAACGUAGGGAAACUUACGCUAAUACCGCAUACGACCUACGGGUGAAAGCAGGGGAUCUUCGGACCUUGCGCGAUUGAAUGAGCCGAUGUCGGAUUAGCUAGUUGGCGGGGUAAAGGCCCACCAAGGCGACGAUCCGUAGCUGGUCUGAGAGGAUGAUCAGCCACACUGGAACUGAGACCCGGUCCAGACUCCUACGGGUGGCAGCCGUGGGGAAUAUUGGACCAUGGGCGCAAGCCUGAUCCAGCCAUACCGCGUGGGUGAAGAAGGCCUUCGGGUUGUAAAGCCCUUUUGUUGGGAAAGAAAAGCAGCAGGUUAAUACCCCGCUGUUCUGACGGUACCCAAAGAAUAAGCACCGGCUAACUUCGUG